rnacentral:rRNA from 1 species
UUCGGGAUGCCGACGAGUGGCAAACGGGUGAGUAACGCGUGGAUACCUGCCCUGUGGUGGGGAAUAACGUCUAGAAAUGGACGCUAAUACCGCAUAAGCUCUGCGGAGGAAAGAUUUAUCGCCAUGGGAGGGGUCCGCGUCGGAUUAGCUAGUUGGUGGGGUAACGGCCUACCAAGGCGACGAUCCGUAGCUGGUCUGAGAGGAUGAUCAGCCACACUGGGACUGAGACACGGCCCAGACUCCUACGGGAGGCAGCAGUGGGGAAUAUUGCGCAAUGGGGGAAACCCUGACGCAGCGACGCCGCGUGGGUGAAGAAGGCCUUAGGGUUGUAAAGCCCUUUCAGUGGGAAAGAUGAUGACGGUACCCACAGAAGAAGCUCCGGCUAACUCCGUGCCAGCAGCCGCGGUAAUACGGAGGGGGCCAGCGUUGUUCGGAAUUACUGGGCGUAAAGGGCGCGUAGGCGGUUGAUCAAG